rnacentral:rRNA from 1 species
ACACUCCUGCGGGAGGCAGCAGUGGGGAAUAUUGCACAAUGGGCGCAAGCCUGAUGCAGCGACGCCGCGUGGGGGAUGAAGGCCUUCGGGUUGUAAACUCCUUUCGCUAGGGACGAAGCUUUUUUGUGACGGUACCUAGAUAAGAAGCACCGGCUAACUACGUGCCAGCAGCCGCGGUAAUACGUAGGGUGCGAGCGUUGUCCGGAAUUACUGGGCGUAAAGGGCUCGUAGGUGGUUUGUCGCGUCGUCUGUGAAAUUCUGGGGCUUAACUCCGGGCGUGCAGGCGAUACGGGCAUAACUUGAGUGCUGUAGGGGUAACUGGAAUUCCUGGUGUAGCGGUGAAAUGCGCAGAUAUCAGGAGGAACACCGAUGGCGAAGGCAGGUUACUGGGCAGUUACUGACGCUGAGGAGCGAAAGCAUGGGUAGCGAACAGGAUUAGAUACCCUUGUAGCCCAUGA